GCUGGAGGAUGCGAGGGAGAAGUCAGCACAGCCACUGACUACUUACUCAUUGCCUCUCCGUGUGCAAGGCAAGAGUGGGGAGACGGAACUGGCCUGUUGAGGGAGCAAAGCCACCCCUCUCUCCCAGCCAGGCUCCGAGGGUGAAAGCCCUCGGGCAGUACGUCUGCUUCUCAAAUGAAAGGCCCCUCAGGAUGCACUCUCUCUGAAGCUAUUUACUCUUCUUUCUUUUGCCCUUCUUUAAGUUUAUCUGUUAUCUGUACCACACGAUAACACGUUGUUUUCAUAGAUAAGUGUAUCUGAAUCUCAUGUAGUUGUAGAAUUCUUUCCUUCUCAGUACAUCUUCCCCCAUUAUUUUGUUCUAGAAAUGAACAAGAAAAAUUUCCAGUAGAAACUAACUUUCAAAAAUUAUUUUGCCUAAACUCCAGGUCAUGGGAAGUAUUUUUUUUCUUCCUUUCUUCCCUCCUUCCUUUCCUCUCUCUCCCUUUUUUUUUUUUUUUUUUUUGCCUUCUCGCCUGGAUUGCCUUAGCCUCAGAGACAAUAUCCCUCCCAUAAGAUAAAGUUGCACAGGCUGUGUUGUUACUUUGACAAUUGUUUUCAGUUUCAACUGAAGCAGGUAGGAAUUCUGGAUUGUGAUCACAGCCUGCAGGAACCAAGAUGGAGCACAGAAGUGGAAACACACUCAGUUAUGAACAUGUCGAAGUGAUGGUGUUUAUUUCAAACCUUUAUGAGGACUUACUGAAAAGGGCAAACGGAUUAAUGGCGGCUACGAUAACAGAGUUAAACCAACCACCUAAAAAGUACUGCUCCUUAAAAAUCACGCACCACAUGGCUUGUGGGAUUUUAGUUCCCUGACCAGGGAUCGAACCCGGGCCUUUAACAGUGAAAGCAUGGAGUUCUAACCACUAGACCACCAAGGAAUUCCCUCAAAUUUAAAAUUAAAUCCCAAGGGGGUAUGCAGACAAUUUUUGUCAAUCAAACUUACUUACUUAUUGGAGUUAUAACUUUAGAGGUGUGCUAUUUUCAUUUGACUUGUCUUAACACUUUGUGUCUCAGGAGAUUUGCCAUAAACUUAAUCAUUCAUAAACCAAUCCAUAGGUCCAUCAAAGAAGUUCAGGUUACUGGAAAUCUAAGGCAUUAUAACUGAAAGGGUCAGGACUUCCCUGGUGAUGCAGUGGUUAAGAAUCCGCCUGCCAGUGCAGGGGACACGGGUUCGAUCCCUGGUCCGAGAAGAUCCCACCUGCUGCAGAGCCACUAAGCCCGUGUGCCACAACUACUGAGCCUGUGCUCUAGAACCUGCGAGCCACAACUGUUGAGCCCGUGUGCCACAACUACUGAAGCCCACGCACCUAGAGCCCAUGCUCUGCAACAAGAGAAGCUGCCACAAUAAGAAGCCCGUGCACCACAAUGAAGAGUAGCCCCCACUCUCUGCAACUAUAGAAAGCCCACAUGCAGCCAUGAGGACCCAAUACUGCCAAUAAAUAAAUAAAUAAAUAAGUAUUUAAAAAAAUAACUGAAAGGGUCAUGAAGACUCUCUUGACUGUCCCUGGACUCUUGUUGGCAGAGCCCAUGCUUUGUAAUUCUUUGCUCUCUG